UAGUCUUCUACACUGUCCACAUGCAGUAUGGAGCACACUGGUAUAGGGCUACUCAGUCUGGUAUAAACCAGACUGAGUAGCCCUGUGUGCUGUUUGGUUCUGGCAUCUGCAUCGUAGCCUUUACUCAUUGAUUGUGCAAUACAGCAAAGUGCAAUAAUAUUAUUAAAUAGUUUUUGCAGAUGUUUCGAAAACAGCACAAAGUUAUUUAUAAAAUAGCAAAUCAUUGUACUCAUUGUUCACAGGUUCCACACAUUCUAGUUUAAAUAACAUUGUAUAUUGUUGCCAUGUUGCUAUAGUAAAGAACAAGCUAAAAAUACAUCACUUUAUGUAAACUUUAUGCUACUUUAACCAAGUCCUGCAACAUGCCAAUAAAGCACUUAUUGUAUAUGUGAAAGUCUGCACAACCUCAAAGCUGCUCAAAGAAAAUUUGUGUUUCUAAUUUUAACAUUUUGAACUCCUCAUAAAAACCAGCAGGGAUUUGUUGCCUAACUGUAUAAACAAUGCAUCUGUACAUGUGAGUAAAUAUGUUUACACAAGAAGAUAAUAGUGCUGGAAGCGCCCGCAGUCCUCCACUCUAACAAUGUGUUUUGUACAUUUCUCAGGUAGGAAGGUCGCUUGGCCUCAUGGCGAUGAUUGAACCUUUUCCAAGAAGCAUUCCCAGAGCAAACUUCCUAGAAGGACGCAACCUGCCGUAGAGAAAAAGACUCAGACGAAACCUCUGCCAAAAAUAUGGAGCAACAACACACCAGAAGCUGCAACCGCUGACUUGUCUACAAGAGGCUGAAACGUUCAGGCUCAGCUGUUUUUGUGUUUGUGUUGCGACUUCACCUCUGAGUGAGCCGGUAGUUUAGAACAUCGAGUUCAGCAUCAAGCUUUUUAUUGUUUAAUUUCGAUUUCACAACAGCUGAUGCUGUGAUUUUAUUGUAUUGUUCUGCAAAGUUUUAUUACAGUUACGGCUGCAAAUAAAGAUUAGUCGAUUAUUA